rnacentral:rRNA from 1 species
AUUGAACGCUGGCGGCAGGCCUAACACAUGCAAGUCGAGCGGAUGAAGGGAGCUUGCUCCUGGAUUCAGCGGCGGACGGGUGAGUAAUGCCUAUGAAUCUGCCUGGUAGUGGGGGAUAACGUCCGGAAACGGGCGCUAAUACCGCAUACGUCCUGAGGGAGAAAGUGGGGGAGCUUCGGACCUCACGCUAUCAGAUGAGCCUAGGUCGGAUUAGCUAGUGGGUGGGGUAAAGGCCUACCAAGGCGACGAUCCGUAACUGGUCUGAGAGGAUGAUCAGUCACACUGGAACUGAGACACGGUCCAGACUCCUACGGGAGGCAGCAGUGGGGAAUAUUGGACAAUGGGCGAAAGCCUGAUCCAGCCAUGCCGCGUGUGUGAAGAAGGUCUUCGGAUUGUAAAGCACUUUAAGUUGGGAGGAAGGGCAGUAAGUUAAUACCUUGCUGUUUUGACGUUACCAACAGAAUAAGCACCGGCUAACUUCGUG